rnacentral:rRNA from 1 species
UACGUAGGGGGCAAGCGUUGUCCGGAUUUAUUGGGCGUAAAGAGCGUGUAGGCGGCCAGGGAGGUCCGUUGUGAAAACUCGAGGCUCAACCUCGAGACGCCGAUGGAAACCCCCUGGCUAGAGUCCGGAAGAGGAGAAUGGAAUUCCUGGUGUAGCGGUGAAAUGCGCAGAUAUCAGGAAGAACACCCGUAGCGAAGGCGGCACUCUGGGCCGGAACUGACGCUGAGGAGCGAAAGCGUGGGGAGCAAACAGG